AUUGAACGCUGGCGGCAGGCCUAACACAUGCAAGUCGAACGAGUGGCGGACGGGUGAGUAAUGUCUGGGAAACUGCCUGAUGGAGGGGGAUAACUACUGGAAACGGUCGCUAAUACCGCAUACCAUCAGAUGUGCCCAGAUGGGCUUAGCUUGUAGGUGGGGUAACGGCUAACCCAGGCGACGCUCCCUAGCUGGUCUGAGAGGAUGACCAGCAACACUGGAACUGAGACACGGUCCAGACUCCUACGGGAGGCAGCAGUGGGGAAUAUUGCACAAUGGGCGAAAGCGUGAUGCAGCCAUGCCGCGUGUAUGAAGAAGGCCUUCGGGUUGUAAAGUACUUUCAGUGGGGAGGCGUUACCGGCAGAAGAAGCACCGGCUAACUCCGUGCCAGCAGCCGCGGUAAUUC
rnacentral:rRNA from 1 species